rnacentral:rRNA from 1 species
GACGAACGCUGGCGGCGUGCUUAACACAUGCAAGUCGAACGGAAAGGCCCUGCUUUUGUGGGGUGCUCGAGUGGCGAACGGGUGAGUAACACGUGAGUAACCUGUCCUUGACUUUGGGAUAACUUCAGGAAACUGGGGCUAAUACCGUAUAGGAGCUCCUGCUGCAUGGUGGGGGUUGGAAAGUUUCGGCGGUUGGGGAUGGACUCGCGGCUUAUCAGCUUGUUGGUGGGGUAGUGGCUUACCAAGGCUUUGACGGGUAGCCGGCCUGAGAGGGUGACCGGCCACAUUGGGCCUGAGAUACGGCCCAGACUCGUACGGGAGGCAGCAGUGGGGAAUCUUGCACAAUGGGAGGAAGCCUGAUGCAGAAACGCCGGGUGCGGGAUGACGGCCUUCGGGUUGUAAACCGCUUUAGCCUGUGACGAAGCGUGAGUGACGGUAAUGGGUAAAGAAGCACCGGCUAACUACGUG